rnacentral:pre_miRNA from 1 species
GGCUCCAAAUUUGAAGUAGUGUAGUUUAGUACGAUCAGUUGACCCUAGUAAACUUCUUUACUUUAAGUUUGUGCCC